rnacentral:rRNA from 1 species
UACGGAGGGUGCGAGCGUUGUCCGGAAUCACUGGGCGUAAAGGGCGCGUAGGCGGCCUGGUAAGUAGGGGGUGAAAUCCUGCGGCUUAACCGCAGGGCUGCCUUCUAAACUGUCAGGCUCGAGCACGGUAGAGGCAGAUGGAAUUCCCGGUGUAGCGGUGGAAUGCGUAGAUAUCUGGAGGAACACCGGUGGCGAAGGCGACAUCCUGGACCGGUAUUGACGCUGAGGCGCGAAAGCCAGGG